rnacentral:rRNA from 1 species
CCUACGGGUGGCUGCAGUGGGGAAUAUUGGACAAUGGGCGAAAGCCUGAUCCAGCCAUGCCGCGUGUGUGAAGAGGGCCUUCGGGUUGUAAAGCACUUUCAGUGGGGAAGAAAGCCUUGGGGCUAAUACCCUCGAGGAAGGACAUCACCCACAGAAGAAGCACCGGCUAACUCCGUGCCAGCAGCCGCGGUAAUACGGAGGGUGCGAGCGUUAAUCGGAAUUACUGGGCGUAAAGCGCGCGUAGGCGGUCUGAUAAGCCGGUUGUGAAAGCCCCGGGCUCAACCUGGGAACGGCAUCCGGAACUGUCAGGCUAGAGUGCAGGAGAGGAAGGUAGAAUUCCCGGUGUAGCGGUGAAAUGCGUAGAGAUCGGGAGGAAUACCAGUGGCGAAGGCGGCCUUCUGGAAUGACACUGACGCUGAGGUGCGAAAGCGUGGGUAGCAAACAGGAUUAGAUACCCUAGUAGUC